rnacentral:lncRNA from 1 species
CCCGCCUCAGCCUCCCAAAGUGCCGGGAUUACAGGGAGUGGCAAAUCAAAGGCAUUGCAGCCUCUUUCAUCACUGCCGAUUGCUGAUGCCAACCAUGUGCCAAGUGCUUAAUACGUCACCUUAAAUCUUCUCAUCCACCCUCAGAGUAGCUGCAGCAUCAACCCAGUGCCCUGACUUUCAAGACGACUAUGAAAACACCCCAACUGCUGCUAAAUUACCAGCAACAAGGAUCUGACAUUCUUAUUCAAAAGAAAGAACACCGAAAUUGACCUUACCCUGACAAUAUGAUGGCUGAAGGAUUUAUGAUCACUUAUAACAUUUGAAAUUGAGGCGGAACCUGAAGAAUAAGACUCUGGUGAAAGGUCCUAUUUAUGCUUUUGAUGUCUUUCACUUGGACAUUUACCACAUGCCUAUUGGUAGGUUUGUUACAUAGGUCAGUUAAGGUGAUACAAGAAUAAAUAAAACACUAUCCCUAUCCUUUAAUAUCAUUUAUUUAUGGGGUCAAUCACAGAUUUUCAUUUUUCAAAAUCUUUGAUAAAUGUCAGAAUUAUGUUUUUUAAUAUUUUUACAGAAUUAUUACAAUAUAUGGUAGAGGAUGGAAGGCAAGGUAGUAUGAAACGGAAAAGAUAUUUUGAAUUAAGGUAUUUGGACCUGGAUUAAUAUUUUUGCUUUGGUCUUUAUUAGCUGAGUGACCUUGAGAAAGUUCUUCUACUAAAAAAGAACAAAGAUAAUAAUUACUUCAUGAAAUUGCUGUAAAAAACACAUAACAAGUAUAUCCAGACUCAACAGUGUAUGCUCAAAAAUGCAGAUCCUUUUUCCCUUACCUGCAAAUAAAGUCUUACAGUAAUACAGUGGGGGUAAAGGUUUAAACUGGUGGAUUCAAGAAGGGCUAUAGAAAGAGGUAGCAUCUUAAUAGGGGAAGGAGAGGAUCCAAGAAAUCAGAUCCAUUUUCUACAAAAAGAAAUGGGAAGACAGAUAAUUCAAGAAGAAAAGUUUACAUGAUUAAAGACCCGAAGUUAGAAAUAGUGAUGUGUCUCAAUAGUAAGUUAGGAAUUGGGGUGGACACAAUUGUUGGAAGAAGGAUGGUUUCAGCAAAGGCCCAAGUUAGGUGACAAUUUCAAGUGUUUGUGAAGAUAUAUGAACAAAAUUAUAAAGUAGUUAGGGUAUAAGAAAUAGGGAGGAGGGAAUGAAUUAACAUUUAUGGAGUGUCUUGCAUGUUCCAAGCACUGUACUACUUGCCUUAUAAACCUUUCUUCAAUAAACGCCUA